rnacentral:misc_RNA from 1 species
AAACCAUCAAGCCUAGCUUGGUUUUGGACGCGGUCGAGUGACCCGUCCGUAACCCGUUGGCGGUACAGUCCGGCUUCAAGCGUAGCAAAAAUUUCGCUUCAGGAGUCCGCGGCGGUGCCUGCCAGGUAACAACAUCCCAAA